AGAUGAACCACAACAACCUAUUCCAAGUAGAAUAAGUAAAGUUAACACAAGAAUAAGGUGUGGGAGAUGUCAUUUAUGGGGACAUAACUCAAGAACUUACAAGGGACAAUCAGUUGGAGAAAAUCUAGGACAAAAGCAAUGAAGAAGUGAUACUUAUACUUUGGCACAUGAAAGUACUGCAGCACAUAAAAGCUAAGAGCAAGGGAGCAACAGUGGGAG
rnacentral:lncRNA from 1 species